AGUGAACGCUGGCGGUAGGCCUAACACAUGCAAGUCGAACGGCAGCACAGUAAGAGCUUGUUCUUACGGGUGGCGAGUGGCGGACGGGUGAGGAAUACAUCGGAAUCUACUUUUUCGUGGGGGAUAACGUAGGGAAACUUACGCUAAUACCGCAUACGACCUACGGGUGAAAGCAGGGGAUCUUCGGACCUUGCCCUAUUGAAUGAGCCGAUGUUGGAUUAGCUUGGUGGGGGGGUAAAGGCCCACCAAGGCGGCGAUCCCGAGCUGGUCUGAGGGGAGGACUCGCCAAACUGGAACUGAGAAAAGGUCCAGACCCCCACGGGGGGCAGCAGUGGGGAAAUUUGGACAAUGGGCGCAAGCCUGAUGCAGCCCUGCCGCGGGGGGGAAGAAGGCCUUUGGGGUUGAAAGUACUUUUUGUUGGGAAGAAAAGAGGAAAGUUAAUACCCCCGCUCUUUGACGUUACCCAAAGAAAAAGCACCGGCUAACUCCGGG
rnacentral:rRNA from 1 species